GGGCAAAUAGUUUAAAAUAGAAUAUGAGUUUUGUAAACUUGGGGUGCUGUUGAGUUGGCUUUGUCCU
rnacentral:tRNA from 1 species